rnacentral:rRNA from 1 species
GACGAACGCUGGCGGCGCGCCUAAUACAUGCAAGUUGAGCGCUGAAGGUUGGUACUUGUACCGACUGGAUGAGCAGCGAACGGGUGAGUAACGCGUGGGGAAUCUGCCUUUGAGCGGGGGACAACAUUUGGAAACGAAUGCUAAUACCGCAUAAAAACUUUAAACACAAGUUUUAAGUUUGAAAGAUGCAAUUGCAUCACUCAAAGAUGAUCCCGCGUUGUAUUAGCUAGUUGGUGAGGUAAAGGCUCACCAAGGCGAUGAUACAUAGCCGACCUGAGAGGGUGAUCGGCCACAUUGGGACUGAGACACGGCCCAAACUCCUACGGGAGGCAGCAGUAGGGAAUCUUCGGCAAUGGACGAAAGUCUGACCGAGCAACGCCGCGUGAGUGAAGAAGGUUUUCGGAUCGUAAAACUCUGUUGGUAGAGAAGAACGUUGGUGAGAGCGGAAAGCUCAUCAAGUGACGGUAACUACCCAGAAAGGGACGGCUAACUACGUG